AGUAGCCAACCAUGCGCUUUCUGGAUGUACUGACCUUGCAGAAUUCUGAUGACAUGAGGUGCAUAGUUUCUGUUGUGAAGAUUCUCUUGCCCAAAGGAGGACAAGUUGGCGUCAGCCGAGAGGCUGAAGAUUGAAUGGGCUAUAGCGAGUGAAUUAUCCUCUCAUCCUGAGAAGUGGGCCUCCCAGGGCAGAGAUGAAGCAUCCGGCGCGGUGCCUGGCGGGAAGGCGACUGUUGCCCAGGCUCCUGGUGCUGUGUGUGACCAGAGGGCAUCAGUGAGGAGUGUAGCUUGCCAUUUGCUAGAAUGAAUCUGCUUGUGCCCAGCCUCACGGGAACAAAAGGUCACGGAAGCAAAAAGACCUGGGGCUGAGAGAGAAUGUGGGGUACCUAAGGACACUGUCUUCUAGCACCUUUCUGUGACUGGCACAGGCUGGCAGACCAAGCUGCUUCCACUGACCCGCAGAA